UGUAUGGCUUAUCAGGGAACUGAAAAAUUGGGCUAAAUGGACACAUUUCUGGAGUGUGAACUGCACAGCAGGUGAUCUCUGAAGCAGACAGCCAGCAGAGUGGCCUUUUUACUCCAGAUCUCUCCCCUGUAUGGCUAGGAAAAAAAAGAGAGAAACCUAAACACUGAAUACAGCAAAUGGAUUUCUGAACCACGUGUCUCUUGCAGCAGAUGUGGAAAUUGAGGCCAGUGAGAUGAAAUAACUUAUCCAAGGCCACCCAGCAAGUGAAGAGUGGAAUGAGGAUGUGCACUUAGAAUCCCUGCUCUAAGUGGCAGCACCCUUCCUCACCAUGUUGUGGUUUGCCGAUUGGAUAAGGAAGACUUCCAAGGCCCCUUCUGUGGCCUCUCCUGUCCACAGUCUGCACCUGUCCUCUCAAUUGUGGUGAAACAAAGAAGUGUGUCUAACACAAAGUGAACAGGAAAUAAGAAAGUGUUUUUAUGCACAGAGAAUGCAACUGCUGUCCAAAGUCAGUUAAUUAAAAAACAUCAAUCUAUGCAAACAUGAAGAAAUGGUCCAGCGGGAAAUUGGACCAAUUUGGAAUUUGGUAAAGUCUACUUAUUUUCAACGUGUCUCUAAAUUUGGGGAAAACAUCUUGGUUGAAUGUUUACAUAAUCAUGUGAUGGGAUAUUUCUUUAAAAAUAUUGUCAUUAUCCCCAAGCUAAGUAUUUAUUCUUUUGUUUAGAAUUUACAUAAGGUAGUAACCUAUGCUUUGGAAAUCACACUAGAGGGGCUCCAAUUCUUUUCUGCAUCUAAACUCAAUAUGGAUGAAUCUUGGAUUACUAUGGUAUUUUACUUUUCGGAUUAACAUGGUGAAAAAGAAUUUAAUAGCAAAGAGCAAAGGUAAGCUCUAAGAGAAUUUGGGUGUUUGGAUCUGGUUGCUUCUUUUUAAAAAGAAUUAAUAUUAAUUGCAAAUCCUUUGGUGAUCAGAAGUACAAGGGAAAUGUAAUCACAUUGUUGGUACAUGGUUCUCACUAGUGUGAGUCAAAUAAUGUUCUCACAAACAAUGGCAGUUUAUUUAUCUAACCUCAUUGUUCCUUAUAAUGACUUUUUGGGAUAAUUAAGGCAGAUUCCAUUAAUCCCAUAAAUGUUUUUAGGAAAAACCUUUCUAAAAUAUAUGGCAAACUUUCUUUUUGUUAAACUUAUUGAAACUAGAUGAAACUUCCUAAUAGUUAAGAGAAAUCUCAUAAGCAUUCAUUAUUCUGUGGUGCUGCAGAGUCAAGAGCGCUAAAGAUACAACAAUAACAAUCAUCUUCAUAGUAGUUACCAUGUGUGAUCAUAUAGGAUAUUGUGUGCAGGAACAUUUCUGAGUGCUUUUUUCAUAUUAACUCAUCCCAUUCUUAUUAGAACACUAUGAAGUAAGAACCAGUAUCGUUCUCAUGUUGUAGAUGAGUUAACUGAGAC